GUGGCCCUUCUGGCCUUUUAGCCAAAGCAUCUAUAAGCGUAGGCCACUGCAUACAAUGAGUGAUGCUAAAAUCUAAAAUAUGAACUUUUUGGUAGCCUUCAAUUGCCUUAAAAAUGGCACCAUUUGAUGCACAGAACCCAAACCUGUGCCAAGGGAUUAGAUCAACAUACCCGGCAAGCUCAGUCACACUCAUUUGCCUCCUUUGGAUUGUGCUGCUACCAUCAAAAUUGGUCGCUGUGGGGCAAACUUUAGAUGCCCUAGAGAUAAGUGCCCUUAGAAACCAAGAAGUGAGCCUUUGGUUCGGAUCACCUGCCAAAGAAGCAACAUUAUUGAGCACCCACAUCACUUGUUGAGCCAAAGUCCCAUCAUUGUUCUCUAGGGCACUUGCGCAGUGAAGUAGAAGCUUUUCUAUGCAUGCUCCAUCAA
rnacentral:misc_RNA from 1 species